rnacentral:rRNA from 1 species
UACGUAGGGCGCGAGCGUUGUCCGGAAUCAUUGGGCGUAAAGAGCUCGUAGGCGGCCUGUCGCGUCUGCUGUGAAAUCCCGGGGCUUAACCCCGGGCGUGCAGUGGAUACGGGCUGGCUGGAGGCAGGCAGGGGAGAACGGAAUUCCCGGUGUAGCGGUGAAAUGCGCAGAUAUCGGGAGGAACACCGGUGGCGAAGGCGGUGGUCUGGGCCGGAACUGACGCUGAGGAGCGAAAGCGUGGGGAGCGAACAGG